GCCUGGCCCUGAUUGAAACGGAAAUCCUUUUUAUUCAUUUCUUUAAAAAAUAAAAAGAUUGGAGAGUAAAACAGCAAACAGC
rnacentral:sRNA from 1 species